GGCCCCACAGCGGGUCUCCCGUCUCCACCCUCGCGGGCUCUGCAGGGCUGGGGCUGCUCCUGAGUUUCUGGUAAGGCCUUCGGGAGUCCCAGCUCUGCGGAGACCAAAGCCCCCACAUCCUCGGCAGAGCCCGGGCGAGUGCCCCGCGGGUGGCGGCGGCUGUGGGGCCGUCUGGGAUUCUCCGCAGCACUGACCCUGCAACCUCCUGUGUCUGCGCUUCGUGGUGAGGGGCGGCGGGAUGCGCGCGAUCCCUUUUUGACUCAGCCAAACGGAAAAGCUCGCGCGUCCCGGCUGGAAGGUGGAGGUCAGGCAGGACCCGGCAAAGGCACAUUCCAAACGAAGCAGACCCCAUUCCUCACCUGCAGAGGGAAGGCGGUGUGGACGGACAGAAACGGCCCUCACAGCCACAGAACCACCGCGGCCACAGCAGCGCGGCGUCCGGCAGGGAGCGGACCGUGGUGGAGGCCUCUGAGCCGAGCAGGCCACGCAGACCCGGGAGGCGCUGAAGCGGGCGCAGCUGCGCCCUGGAGCAGGCAGACCAGGCCACGGCGGAGGGAGAGGCCCGGGGACGCGGCGCAGCCCCUGCGGAGAGGCACGGGGGCGGCGGGGACGCCCUCCCACUGGCUGAAAUGCCAGGGACCGGCCUGGGCGUGGAGCAGCCGGGGCGAGCCCGCCUCCAGGCACCGCCGGCUGCCCUAGGCAGGGCCUGCAGGAGUGGCCCGGAGCCGGGCACCGAGGCACCGAGGCGGGGACCUGGAGGGGGCAUUCGGUGCUGACUACAGGUCUACAGUCUAAGUCCAGCGCCUGAAGCUGAGGUGUGUGGAUUCCACACUGAUCGUGUCCCCUACACGCUCAUCUUCCGUGUACAGAACGGAGACUCCUUCCUCCACCUACCCAGAGACGCCUGUGUAACUGACUCUUCCUUUACUCCCUUUCCCUCGCCGGUCAUUCGCCUUACCUUAUGGAAAGUGUAAAUUAGGCACUGAGGAACGUCUCACAGGAAUGCAGCCUUCAGCCUUCCUGCCUGCUGGCCCCUCUUCCUACCUGCCCCCGGCCCCGCUUAAGGAAAUGCGCCAACAGGAAGCCUCCUGAAAAGCUCUUUGGAGAAACAGCCGCAGCUGUGUCUGUGGCUGGUGUUUUUCCCAGGUGAACCCUAAAGCUGGCUUGAAAAACCUAAAUGAGCCGAGUGCAGUGGCUCACGCCUGUAAUCCCAGCACUUUGGGAGGCCGAGGUGGGUGGAUCACCUCAGGUCAGGAGUUCAAGACCAGCCUGGCUAACAUGGCGAAAGUCCAUCUCUACUAAAUAUACAAAAAUUAGCCGGGUGUGGUGGUGCAUGUCUAUAGUCCCAGCUACUCAGGAGGCUGAGACAGGAGAAUCGCUUGAGCCCGGGAGGCAGAGGUUGCAGUGAGCCAAGAUCAUGCCACUGCCCUCCAACCUGGGUGACAAGAGGGAGACUCCAUUCUUCCAAGAGGGAGAAUUUUAAUUCAUGUUGUUUUAGAGUCCAUUUAUGCCAUCACAAUUGAUGUUUUACAUUUAUUUAUUUUCUUUU
rnacentral:lncRNA from 10 species